GCUGAAAACCUAGCCCCACCCCAUCUAAUGAACCCCUUAAACAUUAUACAAUAAACCAAAACAUUUUAUUGAUUUAGUAAAGGAGAUUAAAAAACCUAUAGGAGCAAUAAACGCAGUACCGCAAGGGAAAGGUGAAAUAAAAAUGAAAUAAAUUUUAAGCAAAAAACAGUAGAGAUUAUCCCCCGUACCUUUUGCAUCAUGGUUUAACAAGUCUAAUCAAGCACAACGUCUUACAGUUUGACUUCCCGAAACUAAGUGAGCUACUUCAAGGCAGCUUAUUGAGCAAACCCGUCUCUGUUGCAAAAGAGUGGGAAGACCUUCAAGUAGGGGUGACAGACCUAACGAACUUAGUGAUAGCUGGUUAUUCAAGAAAAGGAUUUUAGUCCCGCCCAAAGCUUACUUAAUACAAAAAAAUAUCAUUUUUAGCUUUAGAGUAAUUCAAAUAAGGUACAGCCUAUUUGAAAAAGGAUACAACCUAGACUAAUGGGUAAGUUUUGAACUUCAUAGUUAAGUGGGCCUAAAAGCAGCCACCUUUAAAAUAGCGUCAAAGCUUUUCUAUUAAAACUAUAUAAUACCUCAAAAUAUCACAAACCCUUAACUUAUAUUGAAUAAUUCUAUAUCUUUAUAGAACCUACAAUGUUAAAACUAGUAACAAGAAGAAGACCUUCUCUUAAAUGUAAGUGUAAGUCAGGUAGGACUCACCACUGACAAUUAACACCCAUGAAUUUAUUCUAGUAACCCUACAAGAAAACCCUAGUAAAUUUUAUGUUAACCUAACACAAGAGCAUUUCAAGAAAGAUUAAAAGAAAAAGAAGGAACUCGGCAAAUAUUAACCUCGCCUGUUUACCAAAAACAUCGCCUCUUGACUAACUAUAAGAGGUCCAGCCUGCCCAGUGACUCUGUUCAACGGCCGCGGUAUCCUAACCGUGCGAAGGUAGCGUAAUCACUUGUUCUUUAAAUGAGGACUAGUAUGAAUGGCACCACGAGGGUUAUACUGUCUCCUUUCUCUAAUCAGUGAAACUAAUCUCCCCGUGAAGAAGCGGGGAUAAAAAUAUAAGACGAGAAGACCCUAUGGAGCUUUAAACUCAAUAACAAAUACUAUUAAUAAUAACACUUUCAGAACACAAACCUAUAUCUUAGUAUAAUGAUUAUUAGUUUUAGGUUGGGGUGACCGCGGAGUAAAAUCUAACCUCCACAUUGAACGGGACCUAUCCCUGAGCAAAAAGCUACAACUUUAAGCACCAACAAAUUGACAUCAAUUGACCCAAUAUUUUGAUCAACGAACCAAGUUACCCUAGGGAUAACAGCGCAAUCCACUUCAAGAGCCCCUAUCGACAAGUGGGUUUACGACCUCGAUGUUGGAUCAGGGUAUCCCAGUGGUGCAGCCGCUACUAAAGGUUCGUUUGUUCAACGAUUAAAACCCU
rnacentral:rRNA from 1 species